rnacentral:lncRNA from 1 species
AAAAGUUUAGAAACGAUACGAUAUAUAAUCGAAAUACCUUGGAUAUAUCACAAAAGACGUACACUAUACUAACCGUGAUUAGAGAAAGUACGUUUUUUGGCCUUAAAGUUGGAGAGUUGAGAAAACCUUCAACCAUACCCUCCAUUGAAGUUUGAUGGGUUCUUAACCGAACCAGCUGAUCAACCUGUCGUUAUAGCUGUUAUAAAUAGCCCGCCUCUGUUUCCACAGCUCCCCAAUCCUUUGAUUUUCUUUUAUAGCUUGGAGGCUGAAGAGCAACAACUGAAUCUUGAACAAUGAAAGUCUUCAUCAAAUAUCAUUUAUGCACGGCUACUCUCUAUAUGCUCUUUUUGUUGAGUGGCAGAUUCUGUAGCAAUUGAAUAGCAACCUUCAUUUUUCCUGCCCAUCCACAAACAAAUACAAAAUUUUACAACCAAAAUCCCCAUAUUACAAAGGGUAAAAAAAAGGCAUAACUCCAAUCUUGAACAAAUAUUCAGCGAUAAAUUUUUGGCUUAGCCAUUGAGAAAUCUUGUCUUAAGAAUAUAUCAAGCCAACAGAUUUAAAGCUCCGAUCAAAACCCAAAAAUGGAAAAAGAGCCAAAUUUCAUGAGCUUCAAAAGAAGCAAAUGUGGAAAGCAAUCGAAGUAUACAGUUUGAAGAACAAUACUUGCACAAAAGGGGAUCAGACCAACACAGGUAGAUCUUUGAAACAAACUAAAUAUAAGUGGACUUGUUUGAUCAUUAUGAACAACCACAUCAACGUCAAUAUCAUAAGUAAUUUCAGCCAAAACAACAACCUUAAAGUAGAGAAGGAAAAUGAAACAUGUGAUAUCGAAAAUCAUACAACAUAUGAUAGACGUAAGAAGGAUGGAAUUGUGUCCCUACCUUUGAUAUGAGAUUCUUAAACCUGGGCAAUAUUACCAACGUUCUAAUUCAGGGGUGGUUCCACCCCAGCCAUUGAUUUCCCUAUAUAAUCAGCGAGACUAAACCCCUACCGAUUUACACGAUAGGAUAUAGAGCCUGGAACGCCAUAUACCUGAAGUUGGUAUUUCUUGCGACAAUCAAGUUGUUC